rnacentral:lncRNA from 1 species
UUUAAGCAAAGGAGAAACAGGAAGGGGCUCCCCUUUUCUCCCUUGCUCUUCCAGCAGCACAAUGUGAGCCACCGGCAAGGAGGGACACCAAUAAGGCGUCUGAUAAGAACCUUGAAUCACAAUGAUGGCUAGCCACGGUUGAGCAGAUCUCUGGGGAUGCUUCCAUAUCCGAUCCAUAGCGAAGUAAGGCUUGUUGCUCAGGGGCUCCAGAAAGGUGAAAUGGGGAGAUGCAGAAGAAAUGAAUUUGAACCAGAGAGGAUCAAUAGGAGCUAGAAGAGUCAAAACCUGCGGCUAGGGCCUGGAGCUUGGUACUCUCAGAAGGAAGGUAUCUCCCUGCCAGAUGCACCUCUGACCCCAGGAAGGCAGAAUGAAGAAGAAGGUUCUUGACCAGGGAUGAGAGCAGUUCAGGACUAUGGGCCCAAAGAAGUAUUUUGAAGGCAGUGUGACAGCAUUACCAUCCAGCAAAGGGACAGGAGCAGGUUCUCCAAUAAGGCCUCUGACUGCCCAGCCAUGGGCUUUUCACUGUACCAGCAACCCAGGAAGAAAUCAUUCCUCUGCCAGUUUCUACUCUACUGAAGCUCUUCUCAGCCAAUCAGGAUGUUCAGAAGGGGAACAAAGCAGUCUGGACACAUCAGCUGCUGUGCAUGUGUGAAAUGAAGCUGAUUGGGCUGAGGCCUGCAUGCCUGCCCCGUUUUAUCUUUGGAACACAUUCCUCAUCCUAGGAAGAAUUAAUGUCUGCUAUCAAGGGCUUACUGUCAGCAUCUCUGUUGUCCCUUUGAAUGUACUGUUGACUGGGAUCAGCCUGCAAGAUUGAUCUCAAGCAAGUGAAAUUGGGUUGAAAAUAAUUCUAAUCUUAGCCAUGAAGGAUGGCCGUGUUGAGGCUGGAUGCAGAUUUUCCUGGGGGAAUGAAGGUUUGUGAAUCAUGCAGGGGGCUGUUACAUCACUAUCCACUGUAAAACCGCAUCAGUCAUGUGUGUCCUAAAUCAGAAAGAAUGGCUCAGGACAGAGAUGAAAGGUAACAUGAGGUCCGAGGAGAAGGCUCAGUGGGCCAAGUGCUGCCCCGAAGGUUGAGGACCUGAGUGUGGAUAUUUGGAAACUAGAUAAAACCAGAUGCUUAGUCCCAGCACUCCUAUGGUGAGAUACUGGAGUGGAUACUGGAGAGUCUCCAGCUAGUCAGUAGCAUACAGUAGUGAACACAAGUGCCUUGUCUCAAAAGAAGUGGAAGAUGAGGACUAACAUAUGAGGUUUCCCACUGACCUACACACACACACACACACACACACACACACACACACACUUUAAAAAUGAAAUAAAAUUACAUAUCUAUCCGUUAUAAGUGUAUGUG